rnacentral:rRNA from 1 species
UACGAAGGGGGCUAGCGUUGCUCGGAAUCACUGGGCGUAAAGGGUGCGUAGGCGGGUCUUUUAAGUCAGGGGUGAAAUCCUGGAGCUCAACUCCAGAACUGCCUUUGAUACUGGAGAGCUUGAGUCCGGAAGAGGUGAGUGGAACUCCGAGUGUAGAGGUGAAAUUCGUAGAUAUUCGGAAGAACACCAGUGGCGAAGGCGGCUCACUGGACCGGUACUGACGCUGAUGCGCGAAAGCGUGGGGAGCAAACGGG